rnacentral:rRNA from 1 species
UACGAAGGGGGCUAGCGUUGUCCGGAUUUAUUGGGCGUAAAGAGCGUGUAGGCGGCCAGGCAGGUCUGCUGUGAAAACUCGAGGCUUAACCUCGAGCUGUCGGCGGAAACCAUCUGGCUAGAGUCCGGAAGAGGAGAAUGGAAUUCCCGGUGUAGCGGCGAAAUGCGCAGAUAUCGGGAAGAACACCCGUGGCGAAGGCGGUUCUCUGGGACGGUACUGACGCUGAGACGCGAAAGCGUGGGGAGCGAACAGG